CUCCGACUUCAUGGGGUCGAGUUGCAGACCCCAAUCCGAACUGAGACCGGCUUUUUGGGAUUCGCUCCACCUUACGGUAUCGCAGCCCUCUGUACCGGCCAUUGUAGCAUGCGUGAAGCCCAAGACAUAAGGGGCAUGAUGAUUUGACGUCAUCCCCACCUUCCUCCGAGUUGACCCCGGCAGUCUCCCAUGAGUCCCCGGCAUAACCCGCUGGCAACAUAGGACGAGGGUUGCGCUCGUUGCGGGACUUAACCCAACAUCUCACGACACGAGCUGACGACAACCAUGCACCACCUGUGUACGAGUGUCCAAAGAGAACCCCGUCUCGGGGGCUUUCUCGUACAUGUCAAGCCUUGGUAAGGUUCUUCGCGUUGCAUCGAAUUAAUCCGCAUGCUCCGCCGCUUGUGCGGGCCCCCGUCAAUUCCUUUGAGUUUUAGCCUUGCGGCCGUACUCCCCAGGCGGGGCACUUAAUGCGUUAGCUGCGGCACGGAACUCGUGGAAUGAGCCCACACCUAGUGCCCAACGUUUACGGCAUGGACUACCAGGGUAUCUAAUCCUGUUCGCUCCCCAUGCUUUCGCUCCUCAGCGUCAGUUGCGGCCCAGAGACCUGCCUUCGCCAUCGGUGUUCCUCCUGAUAUCUGCGCAUUCCACCGCUACACCAGGAAUUCCAGUCUCCCCUACCGCACUCUAGUCUGCCCGUACCCGAUGCAAGCCCGAGGUUGAGCCUCGGGAUUUCACACCAGACGCGACAGACCGCCUACGAGCUCUUUACGCCCAAUAAUUCCGGACAACGCUUGCGCCCUACGUAUUACCGCGGCUGCUGGCACGUAGUUAGCCGGCGCUUCUUCUGCAGGUACCGUCACUUGCGCUUCUUCCCUGCUGAAAGAGGUUUACAACCCGAAGGCCGUCAUCCCUCACGCGGCGUCGCUGCAUCAGGCUUGCGCCCAUUGUGCAAUAUUCCCCACUGCUGCCUCCCGUAGGAGUCUGGGCCGUGUCUCAGUCCCAGUGUGGCCGGUCGCCCUCUCAGGCCGGCUACCCGUCGACGCCUUGGUAGGCCAUCACCCCACCAACAAGCUGAUAGGCCGCGAGCCCAUCCCCCACCGAAAAACUUUCCAACCCACACCAUGCGAUGCGAGCUCAUAUCCGGUAUUAGACCCCGUUUCCAAGGCUUAUCCCGAAGUGGAGGGCAGGUUGCUCACGUGUUACUCACCCGUUCGCCACUGAUCCACCCAGCAAGCUGGGCUUCAC
rnacentral:rRNA from 1 species